UAAUAAGUGUUUUAUGGCACUUUUUAAAUCCAUAUCCGACCUUGUGUGCAAUGUCAGUCGAUCUUCUUCAUGGAGAUCGACCAAACAUCAACCUUUAUCUUUUAACUCUUUGUCUUAAAAAUAUUAUGAAUAAACAAUUCAAAAUA
rnacentral:misc_RNA from 1 species